UCGAGUUCGAUUCAUACUAAUUCCAAUUAGAGAAGAUUAGCAUGGCCCCUGCACUAAGGAUGACGUAAGUACACCAAGAGCAGGAUUAACCCUUG
rnacentral:snRNA from 1 species